UGGGGAAUAUUGGACAAUGGGGGAAACCCUGAUCCAGCAAUGCCGCGUGUGUGAAGAAGGCCUGAGGGUUGUAAAGCACUUUCAGUGGGGAGGAGUUAUCGAAGGUUAAGAGCUAUUGAUAAGGACGUUACCCACAGAAGAAGCACCGGCUAACUCCGUGCCAGCAGCCGCGGUAAUACGGAGGGUGCGAGCGUUAAUCGGAAUUACUGGGCGUAAAGGGUGCGUAGGUGGUUUGAUAAGUUACCUGUGAAAUUCCUGGGCUUAACCUGGGGUGGUCAGGUAAAACUAUUGAACUAGAGUAUAGGAGAGGGUAGUGGAAUUUCCGGUGUAGCGGUGAAAUGCGUAGAUAUCGGAAGGAACACCAGUGGCGAAGGCGGCUACCUGGUCUAAUACUGACACUGAGGCACGAAAGCGUGGGGAGCAAACAGGAUUAGAUACCCCCGUAGUCC
rnacentral:rRNA from 1 species